GAUGAACGCUAGCUACAGGCUUAACACAUGCAAGUCGAGGGGUAGCAGGAUCUAGCAAUAGAUUGCUGACGACCGGCGCACGGGUGAGUAACACGUAUCCAAUCUACCUUUUACUCGGGGAUAGCCUUUCGAAAGAAAGAUUAAUACCCGAUGGCAUGUAAUAAUCGCAUGAUUAUUACAUUAAAGAAUUUCGGUAAAAGAUGAGGAUGCGUUCCAUUAGAUUGUUGGUAAGGUAACGGCUUACCAAGUCUUCGAUGGAUAGGGGUUCUGAGAGGAAGGUCCCCCACACUGGAACUGAGACACGGUCCAGACUCCUACGGGAGGCAGCAGUGAGGAAUAUUGGUCAAUGGGCGCAAGCCUGAACCAGCCAAGUAGCGUGAAGGAUGACUGCCCUAUGGGUUGUAAACUUCUUUUAUAAAGGAAUAGUAGUAAAUACGUGUAUUUAUUUGAAUGUACUUUAUGAAUAAGCAUCGGCUAACUCCGUGCCAGCCGCCGCGGAAAC
rnacentral:rRNA from 1 species